rnacentral:sRNA from 1 species
GCUGGGCACAGUGGCACAUGCCUGUAAUCCCAGCAACUUGGGAGGCUGAGGCAGGAGGAUUGCAAGUUCAAAGCCAGUUUCAGCAAUUUAGGCCCUAAGUAACUUAGCAAGACCCUGACUCAA